UACGAAGGGGGCUAGCGUUGCUCGGAAUUACUGGGCGUAAAGGGAGCGUAGGCGGCUAUUUAAGUCGGGGGUGAAAGCCCAGGGCUCAACCCUGGAACUGCCUUCGAUACUGGAUAUCUAGAGUAUGGGAGAGGUGUGUGGAACUCCGAGUGUAGAGGUGAAAUUCGUAGAUAUUCGGAAGAACACCAGUGGCGAAGGCGGCUCACUGGUCCGGUACUGACGCUGAGGUGCGAAAGCGUGGGGAGCAAACAGG
rnacentral:rRNA from 1 species